rnacentral:rRNA from 1 species
UACGGGGGGGGCAAGCGUUGUUCGGAAUUACUGGGCGUAAAGGGCUCGUAGGUGGCCAACUAAGUCAGACGUGAAAUCCCUCGGCUUAACCGGGGAACUGCGUCUGAUACUGGAUGGCUUGAGUUCGGGAGAGGGAUGCGGAAUUCCAGGUGUAGCGGUGAAAUGCGUAGAGAUCGGGCGGAACACCAGCGGCGAAGGCGGCAUCCUGGCCCUGACCUGACGCUGAGGCGCGAGAGCGUGGGGAGCAAACUGG